rnacentral:rRNA from 1 species
CACGGAGGCCCCGAGCGUUGUUCGGAUUUACUGGGCGUAAAGCGUGCGUAGGCGGUUGGGCAAGUCAGAUGUGAAAGCCCGGGGCUCAACCCCGGAACUGCAUCCGAUACUGCCCGACUAGAGGGUUGGAGAGGAGACUGGAAUUCACGGUGUAGCAGUGAAAUGCGUGGAUAUCGUGAGGAAGACCAAAGGCGAAGGCAGGUCUCUGGACAACAUCUGACGCUGAUGCACGAAGGCCAGGGGAGCAAAAAGG